rnacentral:rRNA from 2 species
UUGGAGGGCAAGUCUGGUGCCAGCAGCCGCGGUAAUUCCAGCUCCAAUAGCGUAUAUUAAAGUUGUUGCAGUUAAAAAGCUCGUAGUUGAACUUCGGGGUCUACCCAUUGGUCAGGCUUAAUUGUCUGUACUGGUGAGAUGGAUCUCUACCUUCUGAGGAACUUUCAUGCCAUUUAUUUGGUGUGAUGGGAAAUCAGGACUGUUACUUUGAAAAAAUUAGAGUGUUUAAAGCAGACUAUCGUCUGAAUACAUUAGCAUGGAAUAAUGAAAUAGGACGGACUGAUUCUAUUUCGUUGGUUUCUAGGAUCACCGUAAUGAUUAAUAGGGAUAGUUGGGGGCAUUAGUAUUCAAUUGUCAGAGGUGAAAUUCUUGGAUUUAUUGAAGACUAACUACUGCGAAAGCAUUUGCCAAGGAUGUUUUCAUUAAUCAAGAACGAAAGUUAGGGGAUCGAAGACGAUCAGAUACCGUCGUAGUCUUAACCAUAAACUAUGCCGACUAGGGAUCGGACGAAGUUAAUUUUAUAAUGACGCGUUCGGCGCCUUACGGGAAAC